rnacentral:lncRNA from 1 species
UAGCUGCGUCUAAUUAAUCGGGCUAAACAAAUAUGAAUUGAAGUAAUAAUAUAAGUCAAAUAAUUAAAAGGCUCAACAUAAUGCAGCCUAAUAAUUAAUUAGGAGUGCUCGGGUUAAAGUAAUGCAAUUGGGCUAAAAUAAUAAUGAAGAGGUCCAAGUAAUAUGAUAAUUAUCUUGGGCCCAAAUGAUUAAGCAAGUAAGUAGUUGGGCUCAAUUAAAUAAAUAAUAUGAGGUCCAACUACAUAAAAUUCAAGCUCAUAGUUUUAUCUCUUAGCCCAAGAAUAGAAUGAUUUAUCCUGGGCUUGAAAUUAAAUAAAAAUCAGCCCAACUGACAUGAUACAGCAGCCCAAAAAAAAAUGAAUAAUCAAAGGCCCAGAUAAAUAAAAUCAGAGGCCCAAUCAGCAUUUAAAAUCGGCCCAAUUUAUGAAUUAAAAGGGGAACCCAAUUCUCAACUCCCUCACUCUCGGUUAUCUCUCUCCCUCUCAAACCAGUCGCGCCUCUCUCCUCCCUCUCGAAUUCUGCCGCCUCCGUCUCCGGUCGGCGUCGACUGCCGCCGCGCCUAAGCCCGGCAUUCUCCUCCCUCUCUCUCUUCUGUAUGCAAGCCCCAGGUCUCUCUCUCAAAUCAGACACUCCCUUUGGUCAUCUCUCUUCCUCUCGAUCCGUCUUCAGCCAAGGUGUCCGCCGCCGCGGCUCCGGCGCGGCCGUGCCUGGCCGAGGGCGGCGCCUCUUGCCGUCAUACUCUCCUCUCUCUCUCAAAUCAACAGAAACAAUGGAAGCCCUACUCCCCCUUCCAAAUCGAGCCCUAGCUCUCCCAAAAUCAGGAAUCGCCGCCGCCACUCCUGAAUUCCGGUGAACGGCGGUCGAACCUCCUCCCUCACCUCCAUCUCUGCCUUCUUCGCUCUCAAUUUCCAUCGAAGCUUGAGCGAGCCCUAAUUUUCUUCCCUUCUUGAGGUGCCGCCGCCGCCGCUGCAACUGGAAGGCCGACGAGAUUCGCCGUGCCGCUGCACCCGUAGCGGCGUCCGCUGGUCGUUAGGCCGCCGAGGGCGCCGAUCCUCGGCUGCCCCCCUCUUCAUCUCACUACCUUCAUUUCAAAAUCGAGUGCAAAGAAUGAAGGGAGGAAGCAUAAUUUCCUCAGUCUGAUAUCGUCUCCGCCGUUGCUGCUCUGCGGUUUUCGGCUAGUAGGGGAAAGCCCGCCGUUAUAGUUAAUUACUUGACCUCAUGGGACGGAACCUAGUUGGGUUAAUUGUUUAAUAACAAGGACUAGUGAUAAAGUUUCCCUAAUUAUUAUCUCAGUAAUAAAAAGGAAUAUGAGCCAUGCAUAA